GGGUCGAUGGCGUAGUUGGUUAUCGCAUCUGUCUAACAUGUGUAACAACGUGUCCACAGAAGGUCCUCAGUUCGAACCUGGGUCGACUCA